GAAAGACACACAUACUGGAUAAGGAAGAUACACACCUUUUGACAUGGUACAGAAUUCUUUUAAAGGAGAUGUCAUUUUAUUAUGAUAUAAAUGUACAUUGACAAACAAAACUCUUUAGCUUUCUUCCAUGUGAUGGCCUUGAAAUGUUUUAUGUUAAUGCAUCGAGUAUAUGGGGCUGCAAAUGAUUUAAGUCAAGCUUUGACCUGCCGAGGUUUGGCUUGUUUAUGAAAAGAGUUUUAAUGGCAAAAUUAUUGAACAAGCCAAGUGCAACCUUGUUCAUAUAAACAAACCAAAAUUGAGCCAAAGUCUUUCUUAAUAAAUUGAAGUUACAAAUGAAAUUCAACUCAACUCAACUCAAC
rnacentral:misc_RNA from 1 species